GCGGAGCUUUCUUUCUAUCAUUUAAUAGUCCUAUGCGUUGUAUCUUACUAUUAUUUUUAAUGCGAAAAAGUGGUGGUUUGGUCAGUGUAAGCCCGAUGGGUAUGGUGGGGGCGGCGUGCAUCGGCCUGUUAUGCUUCCACCGUCAAGAGAGGGAGGUUAUCGCUGCUCUGUGAAGCCAGCCUGACGCGGUGUCCUCCGCUUUAGAAUCGCAUGUGACUCAGGCCUACGCCAGGACCGCACUGCGAAGCUGCCUGACUUGGAACGGGCAAGCCAAGUCUGGAAAUCACCGGACCCAACCCAAUAGAGCUGAACACAACAUCCCACCACAUCCUUGCCCCCACUCGGGUUACAAGCCUGCGUUACUGGGCUCGGCGAUCGAGGGCCUUCCGCAGCCUCAUAUAACUUUUUGCGAGACUCUAAAUAUUGGCGAUGUGGGACUAAGAGCACUUCCUCCGCUCCCUCCUUUCCCUUUCCGAAAAUUCAUGCACCGCGUGCUUUCUGAGAGAACCCGAAUUGCACCCAAACUUUCGAUCAUGGUUCUUACCACCUUUUCAUCACCUAAAACUAUUUCAUCGGCAAAGAGGCCAUUUGAAUAAGGUCACUAUUCAAAAGCUUAAGAAUAAGGUUACUAUUUAAAUGCUCGAGUUUUUAGAAAAUAAUAAAGUAGAAGAUAUCAAUAGAAUUGUGUUAAUCAUCACCUCUUUACUCUAACGUUUAUCAUCUUUAUAAAAAUUAUCAAAAGAUAAAAGGUGCUUCAUCUCCUUCUCUUUGAAGUUUAUUUUUAGGUUGCCCUUCGUCCUUGUACAUUUUUCAAUGAUAAAUCAUAUAUAAGAUUUAUGACCCAAUGAGCUAUCUCCUUUCAAGAUGAGUCUAUCAAUAUUAAUAUCAAUUUGUCUCUCUGUGACUCCUGAGGUCGAGGUAAGUGUUCUUGGUGCUUAAGGAUGAAUCGCGCAAGAUAAAUCUGAUGUAUGAAUUCUUCAAUAUCCUUUUUCAAGUCUCGAUAUUCAUUUGUGUCAUGGACGUAAUUCAGAUAGAACCGAUAAUAUUUAGAUCCGUCUUUUUUUGCCAAUGAAGUAUUCAUCGAGUGAGAGUCUUUUAAGAGUCUCUUUCCUUUUAUCGGUAGAAAAAAACUUUAAUUCUAAGCAUAUUCAAGGGGGUUAGCUCAGACCUUGGGCGAGGUAACUCAAGUCGUUCGUUCUUCCUCUAUUGUGAUGACCUCGGGGUCGGGGUGGACUAUAGUUGCUCUUACUUCGACCUCUUGUGCGGCUGACUCUUUACGCUUACCAGAUAUUAUUAUCCUGAUGGUAAUAUAUUGAUUGACUCUUUGAAGUGCCUGUAGUAUUGUCGCCGAUGACCUCUCCACUAACGACGAGAAGAGAUGAGAGGACUUGAGACUCAUCAUGAAGGUUUGUAUCAAGAGUGACGAACGGAUAUACCACGCUUUGGAUUUUAUUAAUGAAACUAAGUGAUGAAGUUUGUAAGAAUUUCCUUCAAUUGCAUGAAUACGAGAAGCAUUGACAUUGCUAGCCUCGGGUGCACAUUCCCGAUGAAGUGAAAUUCAAACUUCCUCGUGAACUAGGUAAUGAAACUGAUGGAGAGUGGCUUCAGAUAUAAGUAUCAUUCUCGUGUUAGGUCUCUUAAUAUAGUCGAGAAUGUGUGACACAUCAAGGCAUCCGAAGUGUCAUACAAUAAUAUUUAGGCAUGGAAAGUUAUAAUGUGCUCCAUUGGGUUAGCAUUGCCAUCGAAUGCCUCCAACGACGGUGGUGGAAGAUUGUUAGAAUCGAUUCUUCCUAAAUUUUCUAGAUAAAUGAUGACCGACUCGAGGUGGAGUUAACCAAUGCUUCCCUUUUGGAUUAUUAAAAUUUUUAUCAUAUCUCCUUCAAACGAUGAUCCAUCUAUCAUAGUUGGAUUUGCAAGGAAUCCUUCAUCAAAUUCGUCGAUCUAGUCUCUGAUUUAAGCAUGAUAGAAUCGUGAUAUGGAAUGCUAAAUUUCAUGAUUAUGGAGCGAAGUGCUCUCUCGGCCAUGAUUCGAUAGGUUUUGGGUACUUUUAGGAUGUAACACUAUGUUGGAUGGGGGAAAGUUGAUGGGUGCUAGUGGUGGGUGAGCCAGUGACAACAACUGAGUUAGUGGCGUUGUCUAUUAAGCUAACUAGGGUAAAUGUUAGAGAUUUUAAUAUAUAAAAGAAGUUUUAUAUUUUAAUAUAUAGAAUAUGCAUACUUGCAAGGCAUCUUAUGUUUGUCAAUUGUUGUCACCCCUUUUUUCUUAUUUAAGAUCCCUUCUGAUUUUUUUAAUCAUAAUUAUAUUUUUACUGUUUUUUAAUAUUUAAUUCCUUCCAUCGAAAGAAAUGAACUUGAAUAACGAGAUGAUAUAAUAAAAGACACAAUAUCAACAAAAAUUUCUCAAGACCUACAUAAAGAAAAAACAAUUCUUUGUAAAAAGAGAAAAAGCUAUAUUAAUUAGCAAAAACUAAAAAAAAACGAAGAGCCGUUAGUAGCCUCCGAGGAAGAACAAAAAGUGGGUCAGCCUAUAAAAGUUGGCGUUGCCAUGGGGCUAAGGAGUUACAAAACCUAUCAACAACCAAUCCAAACAAACCAUGCAAAUCAACAACUAUACAAAGAUGAAUGAUGAUCUUAUUAAAUAUUAAACUUAAUAUUUAUGAAGCAAAAUGAAUGUGCUUGUCACAAUAAAAUCAUAAGAGUUCACGAGUGCUUAAGUUUUUUUUACGGCUAGAAUAAUGGAAUAGAUAAAACUUUGGUCGAGCUUACGAACAUAAAAAACGAAAAAAAAAUUAAAAUUUUGGUUAUGUAAAAGCUCAAUAAGAGUUCAAAAUUGGUUAAACUAAUCAGUGUUGCCCAUUUGUGACUGACAUCCACACGAGAUAGCCGAUUAGUUAUUUUUUAUUACUGGAAUAACGUGCAUCUCGACACUGCACAUUGACAAAGCCGAGCGCAUACCUUCCAUUGUCAAAAUCAACUAUGCUAAUGAUCAUGUUAGUGCGAUGGGUUCACUCUGUCAUUUGCCUACGCAUACAAUAUAUACUUUAGAAAACACAGAUAUAUUGAAAUUGCAUAGUUCGUCGUGAUCCUUUCUAAUCCCACACCAUGGGCCUUUAGCGGAUGAUGAGAUGGGACAUACUUCGGUAUCUCAGUAAAGUCAGAGCUCAUUCCUUAAAGGUUUUAUUAUAUUAAUUAUUGAGAGAUUAUAGAUUUUCUUUUAUUUUUUUUUGUUUUUAAUACAUCGCUCGUAGUAGUCUUAUGAAAGAUAAAAAGAGAAGAGAAUACGACUACAGUAGUAGCGACAACUAUAGCUUCAUCGCUACCACUAUGGUGAUUGUUGUAGCUUGUUGUGAUUGUAGCAUUAUCGUUGCUUAGGGCAACUACAACAAUGUCGUUGCGGCAUUUGUUGGCCAUGGCUGUUGAUAAGUCGCAUGCGAAGAGCUAUGCAACCACGAGCGAUGCAGGCGACGAAUGACCAGUGCACCAUCAACAAGACCUGCAAGUGUGGGCGUAGUGGGAUGCGACGACGACAACAACAUGAGAAUUUGAUUUUUUUUAAAGCACAUUUUUGUACCUCGAAUGCAUCUUGAUAUAAGAAAAUCAUAUCUCCUAAGGGCUCUUCACUGAUUUAAUCACCCGAGGAGAAGCACAAGUAAAAUUCUCCUACAUCAUUAGAAUCCAUGAAGUGAUAUAUAACACGAAUUACGAUCAGACCUAAACAAAAGAGGAAUCUCUCGAGCGACAUAACAAAAAUGAAUCCCAUAUUUGCUCUUUACAAUCAAUCUUUUGGCAUUCACUAAAAGUUAGACUAAUUUAGUUGAUAAAAAUCUUCGUUGUAUUUUUUAAAUAUUAUUAUAAAAAUGAAUCCCAUAUUUGCUCUUUACAAUCAAUCUUUUGGCAUUCACUAAAAGUUAGACUAAUUUAGUUGAUAAAAAUUUUCGUUGUAUUUUCUAAAUAUUAUUAUCAGUGUUGUCCCUCUUGAGAUAAAAAAAAGAAAUCGGUGUGCAAAAAGUGGUGGUCUGGUCAGUGUUAGCCCGAUAGGUACGGCGGGUGUGGCGUGCACCGGCCUGUUAUCCUUCCACCGUCAAGAGCGGGAGGUUAUCGCUGCUCUGUGAAACCAGCCUGACGCGGUGUCCUCCGCUUUAGGAUCCCAGAUAGCUCGGGCCUUCGUUCGAGCCACAUAGCUCAGCUGCCUGACUUGGAACGGGCAAGCCAAGUCUAGCACGACCGCACCCAACCUAUUCGGGCUGAACACAACAUUCCACCACCUUAUUGCCCCCACUAGGGUUACAAGCCGGCGUUACCGGGCUCGGCGAUCGAGGCGCUUCCACAACUUCAUAUAGCCUGUCAGUGAAUCCUAAAAAUUGGCGAUGUGGGACUAAAAACGCUCCCUCCUUUUUCCUUUCCGAACAUUCGUGCACCGCAUGCUUUCCAGGAGAAACCCGAAUUGCAUCUAAAGUUUCGAUCAUGGUUCCCCACCACCUAAAACCAUUCCAUCCCCUUCGAACAGACCAACAGAAGAUGCCCUGCAGACCCCUCCAGAUUACCCGACUCCUAAUCUUGAAACCUCGAAACCCAAUGCUCUCCUGCAUCGGGGAUUCAACAUGUUUCGAGCUAAAUUUCUCCUACAUCAGCUGACCGCAAUGCUGUAACUUUGGUGAUGAUGAAGAGGUGUAAGCUGAUAAAUGCUAUAACAAUGCCCGAAUACGUUGUCGGCCUCGUUGCAGAAGAGGAUCGACUUUUAGAUUGUGAAUCUGUGUCUUUGAACAUAGAUGCGCUAGCAUGUAUAUAAACCAUUACUUCUUAAUUCGAUGACAUUAAUAAAUAUAAUUGAUACGUCAUAUUUUGGCCUCGAAGACAUAUCAGGUCAGAAUCCAUACUAAGGCACUGCUUGACACGUCACAUCUUGGGAACCACAAGACACGCCAAGUCAGAAUCCAUACUAAGGCACUGCUCGGCAUGUCACGCCUCAGGAACCCCGAGACGGCGCCGCCCCCAAGACACGCCAAGUCAGAAUCUGUACUAAGGCACUGCUCGGCACGUCUACCAUGCCAAACCUCGUACGACUGACCCACGUACAAUAAUAUAAAGACCUCUGGCCGGCAUCUGGCUAGGAGGGGAAAAAAGGUGGUAAAAUCAAUUGAUCACUCUACUGACUUGUUCGUCAGAGGGUUCUCGUCGGGAAUCACCCAACGAGGGCCAUUUUUGAAGGAAAAUGCAGCCACCUCACGAAGACGAGCUACCAACCACCCGAGAAUCCCCAUCCAGUGCACGAAGGAGAGCAGCCAAUCGGUCCAUAUCCUAAACAAUGCCAACCAGUACUCCUUCUCGAGGGCUUGACCACCUCACGAAGAUGAGCUGCCAACCACCUCAGAAAAAGAGAGACGUAGCUCGACAUACACGACGCUCGGAUCGGCACACCAAGGAACACUGAUCAACACCCCAUUGCAAGGGCCCGAUAGACCUCGAUAUCCAACUCAACCGAUAGAAGACUCCCGACAUCGACCCGUAGACCAGGCUGUGCUAACUCACAAGCCACAGCACAUUUGUUUACUAACAUUUUGACGCUAGAAGGAGGGCAUGUCGCAAGAGCAACAGAUAGGGGUCCUCCCCGAGGGAGAACCACCGACCGACCUCCCUUUUGUUAAACCAAAAAGUCAGGCCUUCCCCACCCCCGGAGACAGGAGGAUCCCGGCUUCGAUGCUAGAUCGCUACUGUCGUCUGUUCAACGACCCGGGAUUGUCACCCCCGAGGCUCACCAUAGGGCCCUCGGUCGUGACACCCGAGGCAUUCCUUAGCCUAACCAAGCAAGUACAGGCCAUGGCGGGCAUGAUGUAGACGCUCGCUCCAAUCAUUCCUCAGAUCGUGCGGCUAGCGACGCCCCCGACCGACCCGUCCCAACAGCGACCGAACAGGGAGCAGGUCGGGACUGGAGAAGCCCAAGAGCAAGCAACGGACUCGAGAGGUCCGCCCGAGUAGAGCAUACUCGCACCCUGCCGAAUCACACCGCUCCACUCCGAGCCCGACACCAUAUCGUCCGACUCGGUGGAUGACUCGUUCAGGAUCCAGUUGUCUCGGAUCAACCAACGCUUGGAUGAGUUCCAGCGCGAGUUCCAGAAAUCGCGAUGCAAGUCGAAUGAAGGCGGCUCGGGCGAAUCGCCUUUCACUCAGGAAAUACAUGACAAGCCUGUACCACUCGACUUUAGGUUGCCCACAUUAGAGAUGUACGACGGCGGCUCUGACCCCGCAGAGCAUGUCGUCAUGUUUCGGGCUCAGCUAUGGCACCUCCAAUGCAUUGAUGUGUCGGGAAUUCCCGACCACCUUCAGGGGCCAGCACGAGCGUGAUUCAACCGGCUGCGCCAGUCCUCAGUCUCAUCCUUCGACCAGCUCACAAGGGAGUUCGAGCAAAACUUCCUCACCAACGUGCAACCCAAGCCUUCUAUCGCUACACUGCUGGCGUUAUCUCAACACGAGGAUGAGUCGCUCUCUCAGUUCGUGGCACAUUUAGCCACCGAGAUCUAUGAAUUUUCGGACGCUCAUCUCUCUCUAAUAAUGCAGGUGUUUCUGAUGGGCUUGAAACCUUCAAGGUUCUUUUGGUCACUAAUCGAGAAGCCUCCAGUAACCAUCCCCGAGAUGCUCCAAUGCGUCAACCAGUACAUCGCCGCCAAAGCUCUGGUGGUGGGAAAGUGCAUGGACAGCAAGAGGCCAAGGGCGAAACAAUCCCGGGGAACGACUUCCGUAGCCCCAGUGCAACCCCGCUAGAGGCUUGACUGACAAGAGCUACUGCUCCUGAGGCCCCCGCCUCUCCCUCUGAGCAUGUUCCACCAGGACUAUGACCACGGCACGGAAGAUUGCUGUGACCUCCAGAAUCAAAUCGAGGACUUGAUCCGAAAAGGUUAUCUCAAGUGCUAUGUCAAGGAAACCCGAGAAGCAACUCCAUGUCCUAGGGGACCCUUCGAAAGACGCCUCAUCAUCCAAAAUAUCAUGUCGAAAAGCCACUCGCGACAAGAGGUCCACAAGCUCGCCAGAUCGGUUCCCGACCUGCGACUCGCCGACCCAUCUCUUGCCUGAGCCGCUCUAGAUCGGUUCCCGACCUGUGCCUUGCCGGCCCAGCUUUUGCCCAAGUUGCUCCAGAUCAGUUCUCGACCUGCAGCUCGCCAGCCCAGCUCUUGCCCGAGUUGCUCUAUAUCGAUUCCCGACCCGCGGCUCGCCGGCCGAGCAUUUGUCCGAGCCGCUCCAGAUUGGUUCCCGACCUAUGGCUCACCGGCCCAGCUCUCAUUCGAGUCGCCCCAAAUCGGUUCCCGACCUGCAGCUCGCCGGCCCAGCUCUUGCCCGAGCCGCUCCAGAUCGGUUCCCGUCCUGCGGCCCGUUGGCCCAGCUCUUACCCAAGUCGCUCAAGAUUAGUUCUCGACCUCAGGCUCGCCGGCCUAGCUCUUGCCUGAGCCGCUCUAGAUCGAUUCUCGACCUGCGGCUCGCCGGCCUAGCUCUUGCCCAAGCGGCUCCAGAUCGGUUCUCGACCUGUGCCUCGCGGGCUCAGCUUUUGCCCGAGUCACUCCAGAUCGGUUCCCGACCUACGGCUCGUCGGCCCAACUCUCACCCGAGUAGCUCCAGAUCGGUUCUCGACUUGUGGCUCGCCAGCCCAACUCUUGCCCGAGCCACUCCAGAUCGGUUUCCGACCUGCGGCUCGUCGGCCCAACUCUUGCCCGAGUUGCUCUAGAUCGAUUCCCGACUUGCGGCUCUCUAGCCCAGCUCUUGCCCGAGCCAUCCAGAUCGAUUCCUGACCUGCGGGUAGCCAGCCCAGCUCUUGCCCAAGCGCUCUAGAUAAGUUCCUGACCUGUGCCUCGCUGGCCCAGUUCCUGCCCGGGUUGUUCCAGUUUGCUCCUGACUUUCGAUUCGGAGUCGAGCUUACUCACUUGGUCCCCAGAUUCAAUUCGGAGCCGAGCUUACUCACUCGGUCCCCAUAUCCGAUUCGGAGCCAAGCUUACUCACUCGGUCCCUAGGUUCAAUUCGGAGCCGAGUUUACUCACUCGGUCCCUAUGUUCAAUUCGGGGAGCCGAGCUUACUCACUUGGUCCCCAGAUUCAAUUCGGAGCCGAGCUUACUCACUCGGUCCCCAUAUUCGAUUCAAAUUCGAGCUUACUCACUUAGUCCCUAGGUUCAAUUUGGAGCCGAGCUUAGUCACUCGGUCCCUAGAUCCGAUUUAGAGCCGAGCUUACUCACUCGGUCUCCAGAUUCGAUUCGGAGUCGAGCUUACUCACUCGGUCCCCAGAUCCGAUUCAGAGCCGAGCUUACUCACUCAGUCCCCAGGUUCAAUUCGGAGCAGAGCUUAGUCACUCGGUCCCCAAGUUCAAUUCAGAGCUGAGCUUAUUCACUUGAUCCCCAGGUUCAAAUCGGAGAUAAGCUUAUUCACUCGGUCCCUAGGUUUGAUUCGGAGUCGAGCUUACUCACUCGGUCCCCAGGCUUAAUUCGGAGCCGGGCUUACUCACUCGGUCACCAGGUUCAGUUUGGAGCCGAGCUUAGUCACUCAAUCCCCAGGUUCAAUUCAGAGUCGAACUUAUUCACUCGAUCCCCAGGUUCAAAUCAGAGAUGAGCUUAGUCACUCAGUCCUCAGGUUCAUUUCUUGCUCGGGUCGCUCCAGAUCGCUCCCGACUUGCUACCCAUCGACACCGAAACCCGAGCCCGAGCUCGGUCACUCGACCCAUAGGCCCAAUCCAGUGUCCGAGCCACGCAUCUCAGCCAAUCCAACGCCCGAGUCGCAUCUCGGCCAAAUCCAAUGCCCGAGUCGCAUCUCGGCCAAAUCCAGCAUCCGAGCCACGCACCUCGGCCAUCCAACACCCGAGCCACGCAACUCGGCCAAUCUAACGCCCGAGUCGCAUCUUGGCCAAAUCCAAUGCCCGAGUCACAUCUCGGCCAAAUCCAACGUCCAAGCCACACACCUCGGCCAUCCAAAGCUCGAGCCACGCAUCUCGGCCAAUCCAAUGCCCAAGUCGUAUCUCGGCCAAUCCAAUACCCAAGUCGCAUCUCGACCAAAUCCAACGUCCAAGCCAUGCACAUUGCCCAUCCAAUGCCCGAGCCACGCAUCUCGACCGAUCCAACACCCGAGUAGCAUCUUGGCCGGUCCAAACGCCCGAACCACACAUCUUGGCCGAUCCAAUGCCCGAGCCAUACCUUGCGGCCAAUCUUAUGCCCGAGUCACAUCUCGAUCGAUCCAACGCCCGAAUCACCGGCCUAGUCUGUUAAUCCAAGUCGCUCCACGUCAACCCCUGACUAGCUACCCGUCAAGUCUCUAAACCGAGCCACCCCGGCUCGCUCGCCAACUUGCAAACUCGGCAGUUGUAACACCAAGUCGUGCCAAACCCGUUAUCUAACCUACGACACGUCGGUGUCGCCUCGUCGGUUUCGCCACGUCGGUUUCGACACGUUGGUUUUGCCUCGUCAGGCCCCUGCCUCCUGAUCAGUAGAGUCGAUCUUGCACGAAGCAUGGGGCGCUACCCUUCUAAAUCGCCCCAUGACGAGUUAAUCCAACUUCCCCUCAUGAACGAUCAGCCUCACUUCGAAGUAUCAUAUAAUAAUAUUUGGGCAUGGAAAGUUAUAAUGUCCUCCAUUGGGUUAGCAUUGCCAUCGAAUGCCUCCAACGACGAUGGUGGAAGAUUGUUAGAAUCGAUUCUUCCUGAAUUUUCUAGGUGAAUGAUGAUCGACUCGAGGUGGAGUCAACCAACGCUUCCUUUUUGGAUUAUUAAAUUUUUUAUCAUAUCUCCUCUAAAUGUCGGUCCAUCUAUGAUAGUUGGAUUCGCAAGGAAUCCUUCAUCAAUUUCGUCAACCUAGCCUCUGAUUUAAGCAUGAUAGAGUCAUGAUGUGGUAUGUUAAAUUUAUGGUGAUGGAGCGAAGUACUCUCUUGACCAUGAUUGGAUAGGUUUCGGGUACUCUUAGGAUGUCAACAUUAUGUUGGGUGGGGGAACAUUGAUUGGUGGGUGAGCUAUUGGGCUAACUAGCGUAAAUGUUAGAGAUUUUAAUAUAUAGAAUAUGCAUACUUGCAAGGCAUCUCAUGUAUGUCAAUUGUUGCAACCCCUUUUUUUUCUUAUUUAAGAUCCCUUCUGUUUUUUGAAUCAUAAUUAUAUUUUAACUGUUUUUUAAUAUUUAAUUCCUUCCAUCGAAAGAAAUGAACUUGAAUAACGAGAUGAUAUAAUAAAAGACACAAUAUCAACAAAAAUUUCUCAAGACCUACGUAAAGAAAAAAAAAUUCUUUGUAAAAAGAGAAAAAGCUAUAUUAAUUAGCAAAAACUAAAAAAAACGAAGAGCCGUUAGUAGCCUCCGAGGAAGAACAAAAAGUGGGUCAGCCUAUNNNNNNNNNNNNNNNNNNNNUCAACUAUGCUAAUGAUCAUGUUAGUGCGAUGGGUUCACUCUGUCAUUUGCCUACGCAUACAAUAUAUACUUUAGAAAACACAUAUAUAUUGAAAUUGUAUAGUUCGUCGUGAUUCUUUCUAAUCCCACACCAUGUGCCUUUACCGGAUGAUGAGAUGGGACAUUCCUUGGUAUCGCAGUAAAGUCAGAGGUCAUUCGUUAGAGGAUUUAUUAUAUUAAUUAUUGAGAGAUUAUAGAUUUUUUUUUAUCUUUAUUUUUUAUUUUUAAUUCAUUACUCAUAAUAAUCUUAUUAAAGAUAAAAAGAGAAGAGAAUGGGACUACAGUAGUGUUGUUGUGGGCGACAACUAUAGCAACAUCGAUACCACUAGGGUGAUUGUUGUAGCUUGUUGCGAUCGUAGCAUUACCGUUGCUUAGGGCAACUACAGCAAUGUCAUUGCGGUAUUUGUUGGCCACGGUCGAUGUCAACUAGACGUAAAAGACCAUGAUACUCAGCGGUUGCAUGACAAACUCGUAAGUAUUAGUGGGUGCCACAAUGACUAUGUGGUUGCUAGUUGAUACAAAAUCACGUAUGGCUGCGAUGACGAUGAGGUCGUUGAUUAGUCACAUGCGAAGAGCUAUGCACCGGUAACGAAUGACUAGUGCUCCAAGUGUGGGCAUAGUGGGAUGCGAUGACAACAUGAGAAUUUUUUUUUUUUUUAAGUAUAUUUUUAUCUUGAUAUAAGAAAAUUAUAUCUCCUAAGGGCUCUUCACUGAUUUAAUCACCUGAGGAGAAGCGCAAGUAAAAUUCUCCAGCAUCAUUAGAAUCCAUGAAGUAAUAACGAAUUACGGUCAGACCUAAACAAAAGAGGAAUCUCUGUGGCGUGCACCGGUGUGCAAAAAGUGGUGGUCUGGUCAGUGUUAGCCCGAUAGGUACGGCGGGUGUGGCGUGCACCGGCCUGUUAUCCUUCCACCGUCAAGAGCGGGAGGUUAUCGCUGCUCUGUGAAACCAGCCUGACGCGGUGUCCUCCGCUUUAGGAUCCCAGAUGGCUCGGGCCUUCGUUCGGGCCACAUAGCUCAGCUGCCUGACUUGGAACGGGCAAGCCAAGUCUAGCACGACCGCACCCAACCUAUUCGGGCUGAACACAACAUCCCACCACCUUAUUGCCCCCACUCGGGUUACAAGCCGGCGUUACCGGGCUCGGCGAUCGAGGCGCUUCCACAACUUCAUAUAGCCUGUCAGUGAAUCCUAACAAUCGGCGAUGUGGGACUAAGAGCGCUUCCCCUGCUCCCUCCUUU
rnacentral:lncRNA from 1 species